CCUACGGGCUGCUGCAGUGAGGAAUAUUGGUCAAUGGCCGGAAGGCUGAACCAGCCAUGCCGCGUGAAGGUCAGUGCCCUAUGGGCGUUAAAGUUCUUUUGUUCGCGAGCAAUAAUGUUCAUGUGUGGCCCUACGUGAUUACCGUACGAUUCAGCAUCGGCUCACUCCGUUCCAGCAGCCGCGGGCACACGGGUGAUGCAAGCGUUAUCGGGAGUUGUUGGGUUUAAAGGGUGAGUAAGCUGGGAGGUAAGUCUGCGGGGAAAUGCCCCCGCUCUACGGGGUGAAGUGCCAUUCAUACUGCGGUGCGGGAUGGCGUAAGGGGGGGGAAGAAUGUGAGGUGUAGCGGUGAAAUGCAUAGAGAUCACACAGAACACCGAUUGCGAAGGCAGCUCACUGAGCAGGGACUGACGCUGGUGUACGAAAGCGUGGGUAUCAAACAGGAUUAGAUACCCUAGUAGUC
rnacentral:rRNA from 1 species